rnacentral:rRNA from 1 species
UACGUAGGGUGCAGGCGUUAAUCGGAAUCACUGGGCGUAAAGCGUGCGCAGGCGGUUUGGUAAGACAGAUGUGAAAUCCCCGGGCUUAACCUGGGAACUGCGUUUGUAACUGGCAAGCUAGAGUGUGGCAGAGGGGGGUGGAAUUCCAAGUGUAGCAGUGAAAUGCGUAGAUAUUUGGAGGAACACCAAUGGCGAAGGCAGCCCCCUGGGUUAACACUGACGCUCAUGCACGAAAGCGUGGGGAGCAAACAGG